rnacentral:miRNA from 7 species
CAACAAAUCACAGUCUACCAUA